AAUAAACGCUGGCGGCGUGCCUAACACAUGCAAGUCGAGCGAGAAAGCUCCUUCGGGAGUUAGUAAAGCGGCGAACGGGUGAGCAACACGUGAGAAUCUACCCUUUAGUGAAGAAUACCCUCGAGAAAUCGAGGCUAAUACUGCAUACGUCCCUUCGGGGAGAAAGAUGGCCUCUUUGCUAUCGCUAAAGGAUGAGCUUGCGUACUAUUAGCUAGUUGGCGGGGUAAAGGCCCACCAAGGCAAUGAUGGUUAACCGGCCUGAGAGGGUGUACGGUCACACUGGAACUUAGACACGGUCCAGACUCCUACGGGAGGCAGCAGUGAGGAAUCUUGCGCAAUGGGCGAAAGCCUGACGCAGCGACGCCGCGUGGAGGAUGACGGUUUUCGGAUUGUAAACUCCUGUUAAGCGGGAAGAAAGCCUUGUUUCUAAUACAAGCAAGGUAUGACGGUACCGCUAGAGAAAGCACCGGCUAACUUCGUGCCAGCAGCCGCGGUAAAGUGCGCG
rnacentral:rRNA from 1 species